CCGUGUAUAACUCCCCCAAAUUGGAGAACCCAUUUUGCACGAGAAUAACUCCGACGUCUUCCAGUGGAAAUUGCAAAAACAAUGUGUUUUGUCUCAUUUAUCACACGUUGUCCGACCAUAUACCUUCAACUUCCAGUGUUGAAGAGGCAUGAAAAUUCUCUUCCCCCGAGUUCCUAAGCCCUGAAAACUCCAUCCCGACGGUUUACUCCGGCUACAAUCGCCAUGCCCGACCAUAGCUUACACCUCUGGUGUUUUCUCAUUUGAACCACACCGUGCAUUUUUGCCAGCGAAGAUCAUUCGGAGUCCCGGCCAGAUUCUCCACCUCGGUGUUUGCCCACGUGAGCCACACUCUUCUCAUUUUCUUUAGUGUUGUGCAAUUUUAAAUUUCCAACACCCGCUUCUUCGAAAGAUUUGUGUUUUUAAGGAUUAGCGUUGUGCAUUUUUUAUUUCCAGUAUUUGCUGCUUUGGAAGAUCUGUAUUUGCAAGGAUUAGUGUUGUACAUUUUUCAACUAUGCAAUUCAACGGUGGCUAUUAGUUAAUCCACUAAUGUGUAAGAUUUUUAUUUUUUUUCCCAGAAUAAACCUUAGAAAAUCCUCAUAUUGUCUCAUAUUAUAUGUACUUUUUUGUUUUGCAGCAUCAAGCAAGAAUAUUGGUAUAGAAGAGAUACACUUGGUUUUUUUGAAUGCUGAUUUUGGAAGAUUUUCGAAGCUGCGCAUUAUUCUGUCACUUGAUUUUGCUGGAAUCUGAUUUGGAAUCAGUUUUCCAUUUGUUUAUAACCUGUGAAAGUGCUGAAUUUUGGAAAUUUGUUUAUAUUUGUUUGUGAUAUUACAAGGAGUUAUAAAUGUUUUGUAAUUCUGUGUAAUGGCUUCAAUGAAAUUGCUUUAUUG
rnacentral:lncRNA from 1 species